GGUGCUCCACUCUAGGUGACUACACAGCAGUUGUCGGCUCGCGGAGGUGGGUUUGGAGCCGUGUGGUAGUAACUGUGGAUAGCACCGCUUGUCCAACCGCCAUAGAAGAUGCUAUCGAAGCGGAGAGAGCAUAGUGUUGCGCAAACGAGUGGUCAGAUGACCAGGUAGCAGCAUUGCAAAUGUCCUGCAAUGGAACAUUACGAAGAAAGGUGGUCGUGGAAGCUACCGCUCUAGUGGAAUGAGCUGUGAUAAGUCCAGAUCUUUCAGCAUAUGAGAUGAAAAGUCUAGGCGAGGCUCGCCAAGGUCUUGUGUGAUCUAUGUAAAACGCCAAUGCUCGUCGGACGUCGAGAGUGUGCCACACGGUCUGGAUCGGUUCCGUGUGCGGUUUCGGAAAGAGGGCAGGUAAGUGGAUGGGCUCAUUCACAUGGAAGGGAGAGGGUACUUUAGGUAGGAACUUAGGGUGGGGUCGGAGUACCACCCUGUCCUGUAAAAAUACGGUGUAUGGAGGGUCAGCCAUUAAGGCUGCAAGCUCACUCACCCUCCUACUGGAGGUAAUGGCGACGAGAAAAGCCACUUUCAUGGACAGAUGAGACAAAGAGCAGGUCGCUAUUGGUUCAAACGGGGGUUUUGUGAGGCUCUUAAGGACAUGGUUCAGGUCCCAAAUGGGGACUGGUGGCCGAACCGGAGGGAAGGUGUUCUGCAGGCCUUUGAAGAAACGCUUGGUCAGUG